rnacentral:rRNA from 2 species
UGGGGGAUAUUGCGCAAUGGGGGCAACCCUGACGCAGCAACGCCGCGUGAAGGAUGAAGGUUUUCGGAUUGUAAACUUCUUUUAUUAAGGACGAAAAAUGACGGUACUUAAUGAAUAAGCUCCGGCUAACUACGUGCCAGCAGCCGCGGUAAUACGUAGGGAGCAAGCGUUGUCCGGAUUUACUGGGUGUAAAGGGUGCGUAGGCGGCUUUGCAAGUCAGAUGUGAAAUCUAUGGGCUCAACCCAUAAACUGCAUUUGAAACUGUAGAGCUUGGGUGAAGUAGAGGCAGGCGGAAUUCCCCGUGUAGCGGUGAAAUGCGUAGAGAUGGGGAGGAACACCAGUGGCGAAGGCGGCCUGCUGGGCUUUAACUGACGCUGAGGCACGAAAGCGUGGGUAGCAAACAGGAUUAGAUACCCUGGUAGUCCACGCUGUAAACGAUGAUUACUAGGUGUGGGGGGUCUGACCCCUUCCGUGCCGGAGUUAACACAAUAAGUAAUCCACCUGGGGAGUACGGCCGCAAGGUUGAAACUCAAAGGAAUUGACGGGGGCCCGCACAAGCAGUGGAGUAUGUGGUUUAAUUCGAAGCAACGCGAAGAACCUUACCAGGUCUUGACAUCCAACUAACGAAGUAGAGAUACAUUAGGUGCCCUUCGGGGAAAGUUGAGACAGGUGGUGCAUGGUUGUCGUCAGCUCGUGUCGUGAGAUGUUGGGUUAAGUCCCGCAACGAGCGCAACCCUUGCUAUUAGUUGCUACGCAAGAGCACUCUAAUAGGACUGCCGUUGACAAAACGGAGGAAGGUGGGGACGACGUCAAAUCAUCAUGCCCCUUAUGACCUGGGCUACACACGUACUACAAUGGAUGUUAACAGAGGGAAGCAAGACAGCGAUGUGGAGCAAACCCCUAAAAACAUUCUCAGUUCAGAUUGCAGGCUGCAACCCGCCUGCAUGAAGAUGGAAUUGCUAGUAAUCGCGGAUCAGCAUGCCGCGGUGAAUACGUUCCC